AGGCUUAUCUCCCCCAAGAGUCCACAUCGACGGGGAGGUUUGGCACCUCGAUGUCGGCUCAUCACAUCCUGGGGCUGUAGUAGGUCCCAAGGGUUGGGCUGUUCGCCCAUUAAAGUGGUACGCGAGCGGGGUUCAGAACGUCGUGAGACAGUUCGGUCCCUAUCCGUCGCAGGCGUAGGAAAUUUGAGAAGACCUGUCCUUAGUACGAGAGGACCGGGAUGGACGUACCUCUGGUGUACCAGUUGU
rnacentral:rRNA from 1 species